GAUGAACGCUAGCUACAGGCUUAACACAUGCAAGUCGAGGGGCAGCAUGAACUUAGCUUGCUAAGUUUGAUGGCGACCGGCGCACGGGUGAGUAACACGUAUCCAACCUUCCGUUUACUCAGGGAUAGCCUUUCGAAAGAAAGAUUAAUACCUGAUAGUAUGGUGAGAUUGCAUGAUAGCACCAUUAAAGAUUUAUUGGUAAACGAUGGGGAUGCGUUCCAUUAGGUAGUAGGCGGGGUAACGGCCCACCUAGCCUACGAUGGAUAGGGGUUCUGAGAGGAAGGUCCCCCCACAUUGGAACUGAGACACGGUCCAAAACUCCUACGGGAGCAGCAGUGAGGAAUAUUGGUCAAUGGACGAGAGUCUGAACCAGCCAAGUAGCGUGCAGGAUGACGGCCCUAUGGGUUGUAAACUGCUUUUAUAAGGGAAUAAAGUGAGUCUCGUGAGACUUUUUGCAUGUACCUUAUGAAUAAGGACCGGCUAAUUCCGUGCCAGCAGCCGACGG
rnacentral:rRNA from 1 species